UUAAGGUUAGGGUUAGGUGUAGGGUUAGAUUUUAGGAUUGAUUAAGGGUUAAUGUUAGGGUUAGGCGUAGGGUUAGAUUUUAGGGUUGAUUAAGGGUUAAGGUUAGGGUUAGGUGUAGGGUUAGAUUUUAGGGUUGAUUAAGGGUUAAGGUUAGGGUUAGGUGUAGUGUUUGAUUUUAUGGUUGAUUAAGGGUUAAGGUUAGGGUUAGGUGUAGGGUUUGAUUUUAUGGUUGAUUUAGGGUUAAGGUUAGGGUUAGGUGUAGGGUUUGAUUUUAUGGUUGAUUAAGGGUUAAGGUUAGGGUUAGGUGUAGGGUUAG